AACGCACAUUGCGCCCGCUGGUAUUCCGGCGGGCAUGCCUGUCCGAGCGUCAUUUCGUCCCUCAAGCCCCCGCGCUUGGUGUUGGGCGUCCCCGCGGGCCUCUACGGCCGGCGGGCGCCCCAAAUGCAUCGGCGGUCCCGCCUGGCGGCUCCCUGCGUAGUAGAACCUCUUCUCGCAUCGGGUCCCGGGCGCGCGGCCAGCCGCUAAACCCCCCCAAUCGUACCAACGGUUGACCUCGGAUCAGGUAGGACUACCCGCUGAACUUAA
rnacentral:misc_RNA from 1 species